UAGAAACGCAGGAUAGCAAGCAGGAGCACAAACGGGGAUCUCAGGGAGGCCGGAGAUAGAUUCAAAAGUCUCGGCUUAAUCCACAAUGAUGGUCCGGAGGACGAAGGGUUAGAAGAAGAAGAAAAAAACUACCACAGUUUCAGUGGUUAUUCAAGCAUCCCUGAGUUAAACCUCUGUGGGGGAUUGCAACCAGUGAUCAGACAGAAUGCACAGUAAGUAACUGGAGGGAUUUUCCUGAAAAAGAAAAUGAAGAGCAGCAGGCAGUCUGCAUAACGUCUCUCUUGCAGGCACAAGGGAAAAAGACUAAUUUUCAUAUGGUUGAAGAAAAUAUGUGUAGAGGCUGCUGUCACAGUAGGUUGGGGCAGGUUAAGCAUGACAUCUUUAUCCUGACCUUGAGACUAGUGAGCUGUUUUCACACGGGAGGAACUUAGGGCAUGUGGCUAAGCCCUUCAACUAAUCUCACCCAGCACACUGAACUCUAAACUAGCCACUUAAAUGAUAUUCAUAGUUUGGUAUUAAAUCAACCCAGGGAUUUGGGCUAACUCCAAAAAAUAUAGUUAACCAUGAAUGUAUUAUAUCCUGAAAAAAUAGAGUUGAACACAAUAGAAGAUAAUAGGAACAGAACCCAAUAAAAUUUGUAGCAUGAGUGAGGUAAUGGGGAUUUGUCUAUAGCAGGGGUGUCAAACUCACGGCAUCUGUGGGCCAGAUGCAUUAUACACUGGCCACAACCACCCCCAUUUUAAGGAAGGGGAAAAGUCACGAUACGUCACGUAGUGACGGUGACGUCACGGUGUCAAAUACAGGUUUGACACCCCAGAUCUAUAGUAAAUCACUUGAUGGCACACAGUAUUAUUGAAAGAUGUUAUGAAUUACACAAAUAAUGUUCUCAUUUUUUGUGCGUGAGAUAGAAGUGCUUUGUACGCCAGGUUCUUCCACAGAACUCUUCCUUCCUACCCCCUUUUUUUCCAGAUUAGGAUUUAUGAACAGUUUUUUUUCUCUUCAUCUUGCCUUUCGUUUUAAUAGAUUGAACAAACUGAUCUGGAACCUAAGUGUUGGCCAUUUACAGAACUGAUACUAUCAUGUAAGGAACCACAAAUAUUUCUGACAAAUCCACCAAGCUUUGCAGUUUAGAGUUUAUUUUCUUUUCCAUGGACAAAUUGGAUCAUGUUCCUCAAGGGAUGAGAAACACUUCUGAUGCGUAGCAAAAAAGUAAAUAGUGUUUACCCGUCUCUUUUUUGAAAGUGGUGGCAACAUAUGGCUUGUGUAAUCACAUAACCAAUUUCAGCUGCCUUUUCUUGGGAGGGGGGAAAUAUGGUUUGCUGGCUGAAGUUAUUGACAUUAGCAAGCACAUAAAUAAAAUUUAACAGAAUAAAUAUGCCUACGGUAUAUAUAUGCUUGAAAAAAAAUCAUCGAUGAUUUGCAAGAUAGGGUGGAGAUUUCCACAAAACCUGGAAGACAGUUUUAGUUUCUACAAUUUUCAAGUUAAUCACUUUCUAUUUCAGAUUUCUUUGCAUUUCCAGAACUUUGCCUUCAAUAAAGCCAUCUCACAACUUCUAUGUUAAACUGCUUACCAAAAAACCCCUUUAUUCCAACUUUUACCAGCAUUUCUAUAGUCUGUAUAUCAAUGUAAAAAAUACAAGGAAAUGGCUGUCUGCUGAAACGACAGAAUUAUGGGAUAACAAACAGAUGUGCUUAUUGCAAUUGAUUAAAGUGGGGGAGAUGAGUGUGUGUGAAAAAUCUUUGUCUGAAGUAUUUA